UAAUGAUGUCACAAUGUAGAAUGUUUAAACAUUGUAGUAGGAGUAUUUUAAUGAUGUCACAAUGUAGAAUGUUUAAACAUUGUAGUAGGAGUAUUUUAAUGAUGUCACAGUGUAGAAUGUUUAAACAUUGUAGUAGGUGUAACGGCGUUCGUCUGUUGAAUGAAGAGAGUCGGACCGAAAUGCAGCGUGUAGGUUAGUCAUGUUACUUUAAUGAAGAAAAACGUGAUACAUGAAAUAACUAUACAAUACAAAACAACAAACGGAACGUGACACUAUUACAGCCUAUCUGGUGAAUACACAAAGACAGGGACAAUCACCCACGAAAUACAAAGCGAAACUAAGGCUGCCUAAAUACGGUUCCCAAUCCAAGACAACAAGAAUCACCUGACUGAUUGGGAAUCGCCUCAGGCAGCCAAUCCUAUACCACACCCCUAAACAGCCGCGAUCCCAAAUAAUACAAACCCCAAUACGACAACAACAUAUAAACCCAUGUCACACCCUGGCCUACCCAAACAAUAAACAAAAACACAAAAUACAAUGACCAAGGCGUGACAGAAACCCCCCCUAAGGUGCGUGACAGAAACCCCCCCUAAGGUGCGUGACAGAAACCCCCCCUAAGGUGCGUGACAGAAACCCCCCCUAAGGUGCGUGACAGAAACCCCCCCUAAGGUGCGUGACAGUAGGAGUUGUCGUGGAAAUUUCCUCUAUUUACCAAAUCAUGAGAGCAAACCACACACAAGUCAGAGUUAUCAUAAAGUCCAUCUUUAAUUAUAUGAGAUCUAUCACAACCCUGUGACUCUCAGAUCAAUUCAGUGUCUAUCAAUGAAUUCUCUGAGAGUCCCUUACACAUUGCAACUGAGAUCCUUUAUAGCAAAGACACACAUAGCCAGACAGCAUUGGCAUAAUUUAUCGUUCAGCUUUGUCUCCUAAACUAUGUACUUUUCUCAAACUCAGAACCAUAAACCAAUCCUCCAUAUCAACAGCCAUAUAUCAAAUCCAUCCUAUCUUGACAAGAUCACAGAGACACACUGACUGGCACACAGACAUUGUGGAGCCAAGAGAUACACGCUUGACCUCUCCCCUCUCUGUGGCCCAAGCAACUUAGUCCUGACAGAGAACAGAUACUACAACCCCACCACAGUAUUAUACAAAAAUAACAUUCUGAUGAGAAGUAACUUACAAACAUAUGAUGAAUAUAAAACAUCUUACCUAUGUUACCAACUAAUUCUGAUUAUUCCCCAACAGAGUAUUUUAAUGAUGUCACAAGGUAGAAUGUUGAAACCUUGUAGUAGGAGUAUUUUAAUGAUGUCACAAUGUAGAAUGUUGAAACCUUGUAGUAGGAGUAUUUUAAUGAUGUCACAAUGUAGAGUGUUUAAACAUUGUAGUAGGAGUAUUUUAAUGAUGUCACAUGUGAUGAUGUGAUGAGUAAAAGACUCUUCAUUCUUA